GUGCUCGCUUCGGCAGCACAUAGACCAAAACUGGAACGAAACAGAGAUUAGCCCCUGCAAAAGGAUGGCAUGCAAAUUCGUGAAAAAAAAAUCAUAAAA
rnacentral:snRNA from 1 species